UAACGCGUAAAGAACUUGCCUCACAGUUAGGGACAACAUUUGGAAACGAAUGCUAAUACCUGAUAUUAUGAUUUUAGGGCAUCCUAAGAUUAUGAAAGCUAUAUGCGCUGUGAGAGAGCUUUGCGUCCCAUUAGCUAGUUGGAGAGGUAACGGCUCACCAAGGCGAUGAUGGGUAGCCGGCCUGAGAGGGUGGACGGCCACAUUGGGACUGAGAUACGGCCCAG
rnacentral:rRNA from 1 species